CUCUCCAGCGUGUCCUGGGUCUGCUCCUGGCUCUACUCUGAGCCCCUCCCGUAUGGCCGAACGUCUCACCCUAUGUAAUGAUGACAUUUAAAUGAUGUGUUUUAAAAAGAGACCACCUAUUUCUUUGAGGCUCUGAAUCAGCACUCCACACAUCACAUCAAACUCUUACAAGUCUAGAAAAGGAGCUGUUGGACAGAAAGACAUCAGCUGAGUGGGAAGGAUUUUGACCUGAGAUGUGACUGCUCUGUGCUGUUGCUGAUGACUCCAGUUAAUCCUACAAGACAUGCUGUAUCAUCAGAAUGAAAGUUAUUGGCCAUGUUUGCAGAGCCCUU